rnacentral:sRNA from 1 species
GGUCGCAGACUUCUACAAACUUCAAUCUUGGGCCGACUUGAACAGUCAGAUUCAGCGCCUCCAAUACACUCCACAAUCAAGCUCCCCAGCUAGCAGAAUGGAUACGUAAGUGGUGGCAGAGUUUUGGAAUCUAAAAAUCUAGGCCAUCUGAUUUCAGAGGUCUUAACGCCGCAAUCGGAAUGAUUGAUGCGACCGCGGGAUUUCGUGACAAUUACAAGAAAAUUGUAAUUGUAUUUACAUCGGUUCAUGGAUCUUAUAAAAGCAAUCAACCUCGUGAUGUGUCGAAAAUUCUUAAAAGCCGCGGGAUCCCGGUGGUGACUGUGAAUACUGGGUCAAGUUCCGAUACUCAGGCGUAUCUCAAGCAGAUUGCCAGCGACAAUAUGAGCUUCGCAAUUGCCGACGGAAAUGUUACCCAAGAGAUUUUGAAAGCAAUGACGGAUAGUAAGUUUGAAAGGUCCAGCUCACGUGGUGCCAAAGUGUCCCAUUUUGGUUUGAUCUUCGAGAAAUGACAGACUUUUCAACUUAUUUCGCAUGGUUAAGAGUGUGCUGACGUCACAUUUUUCUGGAAGGAAAAAUUCCCGCAUUUAUCGUAGAUCAAACCGCAACGAGGCAGCCUUACACCACGUAACUUUUCUCCGUUAUUCAGCAAACUGCUUCUGCGAACAAGGUUGGGUCCAAUACAAUUAUCCAUGGAAUAACCUUCAAAAUCGCUACGGAACUUGCCUUUACACUGACACAACCGAUUAUUCCAGUAGAGAUGGCGCAAAAAGCAAAUGUCGACAAUAUAGUCCGAAGAGUUAUUUGGUGAAUGAGUUGGAUCAACAGAAGCGGGAUUUCAAUUUCAGUGAAUUUUCGUGACUUUUUUUUUGAAAUAAUACGGGAACACAAAAUUCGGAGAAUUCGUAUUGCACAACAUAUUUGACGCGCAAAAUAUCUCGUAGCAAAAACUACAGUAAUCCUUUAAAUGAAUACUGUAGCGCUUGUGUCGAUUUACGCGAUUCUGAAUUUUCUGUAGUAUUUCGUUUUUUCAAAAUUAUUUUUGGGUUUUUCAAAAAAUAUUUUUUCGAUUAAUGAAUGAUUUCCGAUUACCGUAAAUCGACACAAGCGCUACAGUAGUUCUUCUAAAGAAUUACGGUAGUUUUCGCUACGAGAUAUUUUGCGCGUCAAAUAUGUUGCGCAAUACACAUUCUCAGAAUUUCGUGUUCCCCUAAUAAAUAUGAAUUUAAGAUUUGGUCAAUUCCGACUCCACUAAACCGGUCAACGCAUUUUACAAUGGUCUAUUAAAUCUCAAUGGUAACUGGUAUUGGGAUCAGCCAAACGAUAGAUCACCGAUUCCGGUACUCACUUCUGUGUAUUUUUUUUGCUUGAAAACUAUAAACUAUAUUUCUAGCUCGACCCCAACUCUGGAGCUCCACCAACUCGCAACGCUUGUGUUGCUGAUAUGAAGUAUUCAGAUGGAACUGUAAGGCUAACUUUUUUAGAACAAGGGCUUGAGAAAGACUUGGAUUUUCAGACCGCGUGGACUCCGGUGAGCUGUGCGAAUAACUUCCGAUUCAUCUGUGAGCAGGUCGCUUGUGAUACUGAUAAUUAUUGUGAUGGUGUUUGAAAAAUUGUGGAGAAAAUAUAAAGUUAUUAUUAAUCGCAUUGCUUUUAAAUUUCUGAAUAUUUAGCACAUUGAAAAUUAAAUUAUUAAGGACAAUAAAUAUCAUCGAGCCUAUACCAUUCAUUUUUCUGAGAUAAUGUACUUAUCAAAACCAAAUAAACCGAGAUAUAACUUUUCAAAGAAAUGUAGUCGUGCGAAAUCAGGGGUGGGCGGCAAUUGCCGUUCGGCAAAUUGGCAACUUGCCUGCUUGCCGAUUUGCCGGAAAUUUUUAAUUCCGGCAAUUUGCCUGCUUGCCGAUUUGCCGGAAAUUUUUAAUUCCGGCAAUUUGCCUGCUUGCCGAUUUGCCGGAAAUUUUUAAUACCGGUAAGUCGCCGAAUUGCCGGUUUGCCGAUUUGCCGGAAAUUUUCAUUUUCGGCAAAUUGCCGAAUUGCCGAUUCGCCGGAUAUCAGAUUUGCUGGAAAUAUUUAGAGGGAUCUUUUUAUAAGACAAAAGCAUUUAAAACUGUGUCUUUUUGAAAUUUAAAAUAAAAAAAAAUCAAUUUUUCCGAAAAUUUUCGGCUAAUUGCCGUUUUUCCGGCAAAUUCGGGAAAGCGGCAAUUUGCCGGUUUGCCGCUUUGCCGGAAAUUUUUAAUUCCGGCAAUUUGCCGAUUUGCCGAUUUGCCGGAAAUUUUCUAUUCUGGCAAUUAUAAAGCGAUGUCAAAAUUUGCCGAUAUUAUUAAAAAAUUAGAAAAAAUACAAAGUUUUAUUUCAAAAAAAAUUAGAUUGAAUCCACUUUGGCAAAAAAAAUUUUUUCUAUAAAUCCAGCAAAACACCUAAAAAUGUAGGUGCUCGUAAAUUAGUAGAACAUUACUUUUCUUUUCUUUUUUUUGUAAAAUAGGAUAUCUAUCAUACUUUCAAGUACAUGAAUUCAAUUAAAAUUUAUAUGUACUCCAGCAGGAGUACAUAUUAAAAAAAAAAGAUUUUUGUGAUCAAACUACCAGAGAACCGCUAAUCAGUAUUUUUAAAUGACCUUUACGUUAAAACAUCAAUCUAUACAGACACCCCGUCCAAAAGCGCAAAACCUUUUCGUUAGUGAGUAAUAAUCAUCAUGUUGCCUCCAAUCGUCAUUUGUUUCUCUUAUCAGCAAUGGAAAUUGCGAAUAAAAGAGCCUGGCGUGAAUAUAUUUCGUAUGAAAUUAUUCGUCUGCAAAUGCAUCAGAUUCUAACAUUAUUUUUGCUGGCAUUGGGUGGGUUUUUCAAAAAAAAAAAUAUGAAGAGAAAACAUUUAAUUUUCCAAGUUUUCCAGCCGCCUCACCAUCCCAAGCAGUCACCGAUCGAUCAUGCGGAUCAGACUUGAGCCGUCUCUGGCUGGAUAUUGUAUUCGUGGUGGACAACUCUAAAAAUAUGAACCUGUAUAAUGUAUAUAACACAAUCUCAAACUUGUUCAAUCCAUUCGUGCAAAUCGGAACUGGGUAUGAUGACCCGAGAAGUACCCGAGUCGGAUUUAUCACCUAUAACUGGAAUGCGACUGAU